GCCCGCCCGCCCAGCCGAGCACCGGGGAGGCCGCUCCCCGCGCCCUGGGCCUCUCGGCCUCCGCCGCGCCUCCCGGGCGGGGGCCUUGGGCAGGCGCCGCCGUCUCCCGCUAGAGGGACCCGGGCUGCCUCCGCGGCCGUGUCGCCCCAGCGGACGGCGAGCGCCUCCGGAGCCGGGACGGCGUCCUCGUCACUUGGGUCUGGCACGGAGUGGGGCCUACCGAGGGGCUGCACAUGGAGGGACGCCGCGGUGGCGCGGGCCAGGCGCUCAGCGGGUGCGCCCCAGGGGUCUGCGGGCCGCGGGGACUUGCUGGCGGGCCUGGAGGCGGGGGGGCAGGCUGACGCGUCGCCUCUGGGAGAACCGGGAGACCCGCGGCGAGCAAAGUUGAGGACCGGCCAGCGGGGCGUCCCGGGGCUAGACCUGGGAGAUGUCCGAGUGACUGGGGGAGCCCCGGCCGUGCAAGCUUGAGAUACAGAUUGAACUUCAGACAAGGCCGGACUACCGUGUAAACCAGAGACAACUUUUCAUUUGAAUGAACAGAAUCACAGACUACAAUGAAAGGGGGAAAAAAUGUAUCUUGACUGUGACAGUCCAUAGAAGCUGUCUUACUCACCACUGUUGGAAUAUCAUAGAGACAAUCUCCUGUGCUGCCUCCCACUGGCUGAGCCCAAGAGGAAGCCUAAGGGCAAGUGAGCCCUGAUGACGUCCUUCAAGGCCAGCCUCCGGAAAAUGAUGGAGGGUAGAUCUGGAAGGACAAAGGCACAAUAUCUAGCAGUGAGCAUUGUGAUAGGGGAAGUAUGAGGAGCUGAGUGGCCGCCUGGGAGAAUAACGGACUCCAUCUCCGGAGAUAAGGGAAGGCUUCAGGGGUGGAGGAAGGAAGGAAGAUUGAAGGAACAGCAGAUUAUGUCGGGCUAUGAAGACUUCUUCUUGAUUCAGAAAACUGAACACGGUUGAAGUUCCGUGUAAUAGAAGUCAUAUAAAAGUGCAUAUAAAAUACAGGCGUGGAACAAUGAACGGGUGUUAGCUCUGCCCUGGGGAGGUCUGGCUAAGCUUCCCACAACAGAUGACACUUAAACAGGGUCUGGAAGAAGAAGAAGCAUAGUCAGGCCUCCAAAUGGACGGACAUUCUGAUAAUGACAACAGUAUUUACUAAGUGUCAGGAACUAUUUUUGUGGUUUACAUUCUAAGCUUACUCUACCUCCAAAAUAAUAAUAAUAUAAUAAUAAUAAUUAAACACUAGAUACCACCAUCCCUGUUUACAGGUGAAGAAACUGAGGCACAGAGACGUAAAGACCCUCUAACGUGACUAGAGUCACACAGUUUGGAAGGGGUAUAGUGUGGCUCCAGAGUUUACCUCAUUAACCAACCCCCCCUCCCAUCGUAUUUGAACAUGCCUGGAUUAUAGGGUGAGGGAUUAGCAAGGAACGUCAGAUCAAACCGGUGAGGGAAGCAGUGGCCGCAUCAGGCAGAGUUUCAGCAGCAGCCCCUUGAAGACAGGUUACAUAGCCGCCUUUAGGUAAAUGGGUUUUUUUUUUUAUGACUUGAGUGCAUAUAUAAAUGAUUGCUAAUGAUCAUAUUUUUGAAUGUGGUUGCAUUAAGAAAACAUUAUAUCCAAGUCCAGAUUUACACAAACCACAUUUCCAGUGGUGAAUCACUGCCUCAACAGAUUCCCAUAGGAUCCUUUAAAACAUCAAGAGGAUGUAGGCAGGCCGGAUUGAAGGAUGCAGAGUGGGUCCCGCAGGACCAGCCAAGAGGGUCUCUGGCUUCGUGCAGGAUAGAAAACAAACACAGGCCGGGAGGAAGGAAGAGCAGAGUUUACUGAAUAGCGUAAAUGACAGAGUAUAGCAGACGAAGGUCUGGGAGAGGCAGGAAAGAAAGGGCAGGGAGUCUCUUCCUCGCUUGGGUUUAGGGGUUUAGAUUGGAAAGGGGUCCGGGGCACAUGUUCCUUCAGGAAUCCAGGGAAGGGACCGCUCGAAGCCAAGUGCAGGUGGACAAUAGGUGUUACUUCAUAAAUAACUGGAGGUAGGGGGUGUGGAUGCCACCAUCGGCUGAGGUUUGUUCGAAGCUAAUGUCCUGGAACGUGUUUGGGAUCCAGGCUUUCAGAUGUUAUCAGGCGUUUGGGGGCCUAGGACAAAACUCAGAAAAUGAUUAACUUUCUUGCUUCCCUCUCCGAGUGGGAACACAGUUUCUGUGGUUGACUCGGACGCAAGGUGAGAUAUAGAACAUGAAUAAAUAGGGGCUAGCAGAAAAACAGCAGAGGGAGAGCCUUUCUAAACAUGGAGUCCCUCUGGUUUCCCCAUGAUUAACUGUAAAACUGCAGAAGCUCAAAAGGCAGCUCAUCGGCGACGGAGGAGGUGUGAGCCCUCCUUAGAGGAGAGGGGCUCAGGUCGUCCCCACACUCUCAAAUCGUCACCCGCAGGACCUCCACAGUCACAACACAUGCUCUCCUAUCUGAGAACCAAUAGAACAAACAGCAAGCUCCCUUUCCUCGUUGAGCCAGGGCACAAUGGCCAAACAGGAAACUGGUGUCCCCCCACCCCCGCCCCCACAGCAUAUACACGCCUACCAACUCAGAAGGCUGGCAUUUCCUUCUCCCAGCUGCCCCAGCAGCUGUCCAGGACUUUUUAAAGAGAGCUCUCCAAAAGCCUCCCAGGGAGAUGUGACUGACUCUAGUAAUCUCUCUGCAUAGAAGGCACCUUUAAUUCGGGGGAAUGAGAUUUCUUCCCAACAGCCCAUGUUGCACAGAACCGCUGCAUCUUUUAAAACCAGGCUUUCUGAUGUCCAGAGCCACCAAGCAGAAAGUCUCCUCUCUUUAGCCCCUGACUUGACCUAGAAGAGGCUGGCUGGGUGUGUCUUUCCAGCAAACCCAGAGAGAUCCUUUCAGGAGGUGGCACCAGGGAAGAGCCAGGCCACACCGAAAAGUGUGGCCUGUGCACUGGUUUGUCUAGAUACUCCCAGACCACUUCCCAUCCUGACAGGGCUAUACAGGAACCUUCUCCUUCCACCCACCAUUUCCUUCAUUGGGAAGGUCGAGGAGAAACUGGUAAGAUCAUGGUUAUUUUGGGUGGUGGCCUCGGAGGGGGGCUCAAUCACUUGAGCGUCCGACCUCGGCUCAGGUCACGAUCUCACGGUUUGUGGGUCGGAGCCCCACGUCGGG